rnacentral:hammerhead_ribozyme from 1 species
AUUCAACUGAUAAGUUUCAAAUAGGGCGAAAUGCACGUCCUGAAU